rnacentral:rRNA from 1 species
UGGAUCCAGACUUUGAUCAUGGCUCAGGAUGAACGCUAGCUACAGGCUUAACACAUGCAAGUCGAGGGGAAACGACAUCGAAAGCUUGCUUUUGAUGGGUGUCGACCGGCGCACGGGUGAGUAACGCGUAUCCAACCUGCCCAUCACUUGGGGAUAACCUUGCGAAAGUAAGACUAAUACCCAAUGAUAUCUCUAGAAGACGUCUGAAAGAGAUUAAAGAUUUAUCGGUGAUGGAUGGGGAUGCGUCUGAUUAGCUUGUUGGCGGGGUAACGGCCCACCAAGGCGACGAUCAGUAGGGGUUCUGAGAGGAAGGUCCCCCACAUUGGAACUGAGACACGGUCCAAACUCCUACGGGAGGCAGCAGUGAGGAAUAUUGGUCAAUGGACGAGAGUCUGAACCAGCCAAGUAGCGUGCAGGAUGACGGCCCUAUGGGUUGUAAACUGCUUUUAUAAGGGAAUAAAGUGAGAGUCGUGACUCUUUUUGCAUGUACCUUAUGAAUAAGGACCGGCUAAUUCCGUGCCAGCAGCCGCGGUAAUACGGAAGGUCCGGGCGUUAUCCGGAUUUAUUGGGUUUAAAGGGAGCGUAGGCCGGAGAUUAAGCGUGUUGUGAAAUGUAGACGCUCAACGUCUGCACUGCAGCGCGAACUGGUUUCCUUGAGUACGCACAAAGUGGGCGGAAAUCGUGGUGUAGCGGUGAAAUGCUUAGAUAUCACGAAGGACUCCGAUUGCGAAGGCAGCUCACUGGAGCGCAACUGACGCUGAAGCUCGAAAGUGCGGGUAUCGAACAGGAUUAGAUACCCUGGUAGUCCGCACGGUAAACGAUGGAUGCCCGCUGUUGGUCUGAGUAGGUCAGCGGCCAAGCGAAAGCAUUAAGCAUCCCACCUGGGGAGUACGCCGGCAACGGUGCAACUCAAAUGAAUUGACGGA